UACGUAGGGUGCGAGCGUUGUCCGGAAUUAUUGGGCGUAAAGAGCUCGUAGGCGGUUUGUCGCGUCGACUGUGAAAACCUGGGGCUUAACUCUGGGCCUGCAGUCGAUACGGGCAGACUUGAGUUCGGUAGGGGAGACUGGAAUUCCUGGUGUAGCGGUGAAAUGCGCAGAUAUCAGGAGGAACACCUAUGGCGAAGGCAGCUCGCUGGGACGUGACUGACGCUGAGACGCGAAAGCGUGGGGAGCAAACAGG
rnacentral:rRNA from 1 species